rnacentral:tRNA from 1 species
GAAUGCAUAGCUCAGCUGGUUAGAGUCCCCGGUUUUAAUAUUGGGACGGUCGAAGGUUCGAAUCCUUCUGCGUUCG